CAUGUCUUUUUGAUUAUAAUUUAAGGUUUAAUCUGCUCAAUGAGGAUUUAAAUUGCCGCAGUAUUUUGACUGUGCAAAGGUAGCAUAAUAAUUAGCUUUUUUAUUGAGAGCUGGAAUGAAUGAUUGGACGAGAAAAUUUCUGUCUCUUUAUUAUUUUUAUUAAAUUUUACUUUUAAGUUAAAAGGCUUAAAUAUUUUUAAAAGACGAGAAGACCCUAUAGAGUUUUAUUUUUUAAUUUAUAAUUAUUUUUUAGAAUUUAUAUAUUUUUAUUUUUUAAAAAAUUUGGUUGGGGUGACUAAAAGAUAAAAAUAACUCUUUUAAUUAUAAUCAUUUAUUUUUGAAUUUUUAAUCUAUAUUUUUAAAUUUAAAUUAAAUUACCUUAGGGAUAACAGCGUAAUUUUUCUUUAGAGUUCUAAUUGAAAGAAGAGUUUGCGACCUCGAUGUUGGAUUAAAAUUUAUUUUUGGUGCAGAAGCUUAAAAAUUGAGUCUGUUCGACUUUUAAAAUUUUACAUGAUCUGAGU
rnacentral:rRNA from 1 species